rnacentral:rRNA from 1 species
UACGGGGGGGGCAAGCGUUGUUCGGAAUUACUGGGCGUAAAGGGCUCGUAGGUGGCCAACUAAGUCGGACGUGAAAUCCCUCAGCUUAACCGAGGACGUGCGGAAGAAACUGCAAGGCUCGAGUCCGGAAGAGGGGGGCGGAAUUCCCAGUGUAGCGGUGAAAUGCGUAGAUAUUGGGAGGAACACCAGUGGCGAAGGCGGUCCCCUGGGCCGGAACUGACGCUGAGGCGCGAAAGCGUGGGUAGCAAACGGG